CAAGAGGAGGAACCAGCUAAAUGUACAGACCAAGGCAGAAGCAGAUGAUAAUGUGGUCUACAGCUCACUAGCAUAACAGCACACAGAGGGCAGCAACACAGCAGUGACUGACUGAGUGAAGAUCUUGGGCUUAAAGAGCCCUCAUCCUGGAAGGACAGCCCACUCCCCCUCCUGUGUCACAACAUGAGUCAUGAAUAUCUAUCUGCCUCCAAUAUGCUUCUGCCCACACCUUCUAACCCACCUGUCUCUUUGUUGUGUCCAUAAACUACUGAAGACA